CCUACGGGAGGCAGCAGUGGGGGAUAUUGCACAAUGGGGGAAACCCUGAUGCAGCGACGCCGCGUGUGGGAAGACGGUCCUCUGGAUUGUAAACCACUGUCCCCAGGGACGAAGAUGACGGUACCUGGGGAGGAAGCUCCGGCUAACUACGUGCCAGCAGCCGCGGUAAUACGUAGGGAGCGAGCGGUGUCCGGAAUUACUGGGUGUACAGGGAGCGUAGGCGGGGAUGCAAGUUGGGUGUCAAAACUACAGGCUAAACUGGUAGGCGCACUCAAAACUGCAGCUCUUGAGUGAAGUAGAGGCAGGCGGAAUGCCUAGUGUAGCGGUGAAAUGCGUAGAUAUUAGGAGGAACACCAGUGGCGAAGGCGGCCUGCUGGGCUUUUACUGACGCUGAGGCUCGAAAGUGUGGGGAGCAAACAGGAUUAGAUACCCCAGUAGUC
rnacentral:rRNA from 1 species